UGGGGAAUAUUGCACAAUGGGCGCAAGCCUGAUGCAGCCAUGCCGCGUGUAUGAAGAAGGCCUUCGGGUUGUAAAGUACUUUCAGCGGGGAGGAAGGGAGUAAAGUUAAUACCUUUGCUCAUUGACGUUACCCGCAGAAGAAGCACCGGCUAACUCCGUGCCAGCAGCCGCGGUAAUACGGAGGGUGCAAGCGUUAGUCGGAAUUACUGGGCGUAAAGCGCACGCAGGCGGUUUGUUAAGUCAGAUGUGAAAUCCUCGGGCUCAACCUGGGAACUGCAUCUGAUACUGGCAAGCCUGAGUCUCGUAGAGGGGGGUAGAAUUCCAGGUGUGGCGGUGAAAUGGGUAGAGAUCUGGAGGAAUACCGGUGGCGAAGGCGGCCCCCUGGACGAAGACUGACGCUCAGGUGCGAAAGCGUGGGGAGCAAACAGG
rnacentral:rRNA from 1 species